AACAACCUCGUACCCAGGCUCUUUCCUCUACGCGCCUCGCGUAGUGGAAAGAGCCUGGGUACGAGGUUGGGGAAAGAAG